CUUAUUUCCUCCCUACCGAUAUUCCUCUCAUUUGUGCUAGUGUCGGUGUGUGCGAGAAAAGAAUCGGAGAAAGAUGAAAUGGCAAAACCCUGCCAGAGCUGAUUUUGGAAAAAUAAAAGGGCCUCAAAAGUAUUUUUUUAAAACCUAAUUCCUAUUUCCUCCCUACCCGUCUUCCUCUCAUCUGUGCUAUUGCUAGAAUUGUUGGUGUGUCAAGAAAAGAACUAGAGAAAAGUGAAACGGCGAGGCCCACCCGUAUAAAUUACUCGUUUGAUUGAUAUUUAACUUUAUUUUUCUAUUAAUAUUAUUCAUUUACUAUUUAACAAUUAUGUCAAAAUUAAUUUCUUCAACCGGGUUCUCAUAUGUGUAGGCUGCAACUACAAAACUUUCCCACUGUAUGCCCUCGUUAUUCAGGUAAUUAUAUAAUAGAAUUAAAUUUGAUGUAGUAGUCAAUAUCAGAAAUCUGAAUUAACAUUUCUUCAAAAGAGUAUUUAUUAUCCGUUGAAGAAAUACCAGAAUGCUAAUUAACAUUUUCUAUAUAUCAUAUCUGAAUUAUUAAAAAAGAAUUGUCGUCUAUUAACGUAGUUAAUGUCUCAGAUUGAUUAAUUAGGUUUUUAGACUUGAAUUUCCAUUUAAUGAACAAAUUUUUUUUAGAGUACUUGAAUUUUCUCCUGUAGGUUUGACAAAAACCAUAGUAGAAUACUUGAUAGAAAUUUAGCCAUGUCACUACCUGCCUACCGGUAUAAAAUAUGAUUUCUAUGUAUCCCUUCUCUUUUUUUGCAUCGGACAAUUUCUCAAAUGAAAUGGAUUUAAUAUGGCUAUAUUUUAUUGAAAUUUGUUUUUAUCACUGGUGAUAGGAUGGAGAUGGAGUUUUUGGGUAUUACCGUACUAGGUAGUAUUUGUUUUCUACUUUUCCUCGUGCAUUCAAAUGUAACUCAAAGCAAAGAGGGGUUUUUGAUGAUUUUUUAUUGGAGAAUAGUAUAGAGAUAAAACUUGAACAUUAUUUGUAGGAAUUUUAGAUAUUGUAGUAGUAUAAUUCAAAGGUUUUAUACAUAAUUUACAAUUAUAGGUGCUAAAUUGAAAGCUAUUAAAUUUUGAUUUCAAGACUGUGAGCUGUGAUGGUGAAGUUCUCAAAGUGCCGCAUUGUGUCAUUUCAUAAUUUUUGCUGAAGUCCUAUUUCUUAGAUGAGCAAUGGAAAUGUUUAAAGUCUUGUCAGCUAAUAUAAUUGCAUUGUAAUAUUGCACCAUUGUCAGGUUAUAUUAAGUUUCAUUAAAUUUAAUUGUAGGAUCAAUUGCACAGGUGUACGUAGUCAUAUAACAUGGUGUCUCCUAGAUAUGAGUCUGAAGCUCAAAAAAGAAAAAGGAAACAAAAUGAGUUCGAAGUCAAGCAGGAGAUAUUUUCUACAUUAUCUGCAUCGUUAUUCGAUUAUAAUAAUAAUUUUUAGUAUGAGCUUGUAUGAGCCCCAUUUUUGGUGUAGAAUGCAUUUUGCAUGCAUAAUACAAAUUUUUUUAUUUUUUUUUUAUUUUGGGAGGGAGGCCUAUUUUAUGAAGUUCGCCUCAGGCCCCCAAAAUUAUAGAACUAGCCCUGGCUGACACAUGGCACAUCAUGAACCGUUGGACAAGUCAAUUGGUCUUGGUGAUAUAAAUACCCUUGGACGAUUCGUUUGGCCUGAGAUUUUUCUUCUGGCUUUUCAUUUUCAAGAGGGUCAUCUUUUGUGAGUGGCUAGGGUUUUCUGAUUCGCCAUUAUUUUGAACCUCUCAUUCGAAAUGAUAUUUUUUGAGAGUUUAGUCUUGAAUACAUGUGAUUUCUUGUGUGAAAUCUAUAAUAGUUGUGAGAACUAGUGUUUAGGGUUCGUGAAGUCAGAUAUGUAGUUUCUUGUAUGACUUGAGCCAGAUCUGUUAGUUCUUUGUGAAGAGAUAAGUCUCCUAUACUGUAUUCUGGUAUUGGCUAAACAUUUGUAUCCUUCGUUGUCAGUUUAAGGCAUUAAAGUGCAACUGAGCAAUAUCCAUUCUUGAAUGGAUGCUCAAUAGGGGACUGGGUGUUAGAAAGGUCACCGAACCUCUGGGGCUUCGACCGAAAAAUUUCUCUGUGUUCAUUUUUAUUUUUCUGCAAGUUUUGAUUUUUGUUAUUAAUCGAUCCUUAGUAUCUUGUGUUUAAUAUUGUGUUUGGGCUUUUCAGUGGUAUCAGAGCACUAAACUAGAGACAAGAUACCUAGAUCUUGGAAGGAAGGCACUAAUCUGUUCCAGAUCUGAAAAUCUUUGGAACUGCUUUUAAGCAGGAUAAAGGAUAUCGAGUUUUUACAACUCGCUAGGUGAGAUCUUUCUGAAUCUUUUGGAAAUUUUAUUACUAAAUUCGGUUUCUGGAUUUUUCCCUUUGACUUACCAUACACUAAAAACCCCCUGGAAAAUAUUCUUUGUCCAAAGGCUCCUACGAGGCCUUGGGAAUCUGAGAUAAAUUCAAUACGGGUGUGUAUCUGGAGGGUCUUUGAAGGAGAAGUCACUGAAACAUAAUUCUGUGAUCUCUAAUAUUGUAUUCCUUAUAUUGUUUUUGACUUCUUGUCCUUCUGUGUUAAAACUUGUGACACUGUUGUAUUGUUAUUACACAAAAACUUGAAAUUAAUUGUUCCUUGUAUUCUUGAUUCAUAUCUGAGCACUCUGUGUUAUAUUGAUAUGGCUAUUGCUAAGUUUGAAGUUGCUCAAUUUGAUGGAAAAGGUGAUUUUAAUAUGUGGAGUCAAAAGAUGAAAGCCAUACUUAUGCAAAUGAGAUGUGCUAAGGCAUUAGAUGAUAGUUGGCCUCAAGAUAUGAAUCCUAUUAGGAAAACUGAACUUGAAGAAGUUGCCUGGAGUACCAUUUUCUUGUAUCUUUCUGAUAAUGUGAUACAAACCAUUGGUGAAACCAAAACUACUUCUGAACUUUGGACCAAACUUGAAAUCCAGUAUGUUACUAAGACUAUCCCAAAUAAAUGCUAUUUGUUAAAACAACUCUUUUCUUUUAAAAUAGACCCUUCAAUUGAUUUAGAUGAUAACUUGAAUAAGUUUAGAAAGUUGACCCAAGACUUAACCAACUGUGAUGAAAAUUUUUCAAAAGAUCAGUUGGCUGUAGUUCUGUUAAACUCCAUUAGUGACAGAUAUAGAGACAUUAAUAUUGCUCUUGAAUAUGGAAGGGGUGAACUUACUACUGAUGUGAUUAUAAAUGCCUUAAGAACUAAAGCAUUGGAAAUUAAAUCUGAAACUAAGGAUAAACACAGUGGUGAUACCCUUAUGGCAAAAGGAAAGGGGUUCAAUAAACUAACCUAUCACUCUAAGAACCUUAAUGAGAAUAGAAACAAACGAAAUGAAAAACACCAAAUCCAAGAAUAAAGCAAAAGGGAAAAAAAUGUUUUUACCGUGGGAAACAUGGUCAUUUUAUUAAAGAUUGUUAUAAAAACAAAAAUGAGCUGAAAGAAAAGAAACUUGAGGGUAGGAAUGCUGCCUUAGUAUUCAAUAAGGAUAAAAUUGAAGAUGGAUUGGUCCUUGUUAAUGUUGAAAAGAAGCUAAAUAAUGAAUGGAUCCUUGACUUUAGGUGUUCCUUCCACAUGUGCCCAAACAAGAAUAGUUUUCUUGACUUUGAAAAGACAACUGGUGGGUAGGUUAUAAUGGGAAAUAAUAUGACUUGUAAAAUAAGUGGAAUAGGAACCAUAAAACUAUUGUUAGAAGAUGGAAAUGUCCUAAAUUUGAAAGGAACAAGGUAUGUUCCAGACUUAGAAAGAAAUCUGGUGUCUCUAGGAAUGCUUGAUGAUAUAGAGUUUGACAUUAAAAUGGGUCAAGGACGUAUGAAAAUUCUUAGGGGAAAUGACUUGGUCAUUAGUGCCCCUAAGAGACAUGGUCUCUAUUUUCUUGAAGCAAAACAUUUACUGGGUUUGACUGUUGCUGCUUUAACUGAUAACUUUACCUUUGCAAAGCUGUGGCAUGAAAGGUUAGGCCAUAUUGGCAAGAAAAGUUUAAAAGCUUUACAAAACAAAGAAGUUUUUGGAAAUCAAAAUCUUGGUGAAAUUGGCAUUUGUGAAAAAUGUGUGAUAGGAAAACAAGUUAAACUUCCUUUCUUACCUGGAAUUCAUAAGUCUAAACAAAUACUUGAAUAUUUGCAUGCUGAUUUGUGGGGCCCAACUUCAGCUACUACCUUGUCUGAUUUUAAAUAUUAUCUUUUAAUUAUUGAUGAUUAUUCAAGGAAAAUUUGGAUUUUCUUGUUAAAAUCAAAAGAUGAAACUUUUUUCUAUUUUCAGGGAAUGGAAAAUUCAAAUUGAAAAUCAAACUGAUAACAAAAUAAAGAUCCUGAGAACAAACAAUGGUUUGCAAUUUUGCAAUUAUGAAUUCAAUAAUUUUUGCAAAGAAUGUGGAAUAGUAAGACAUAGAAUAGUUACUUAUACCCCUCAACAAAAUGAUAUAGCUGAAAGGAUGAAUAGAACCUUAAUGAAUAAAGUGAGAUGUAUGCUUUUGAGUUCUGGUCUACCAAAACUAUUUUGGGGUGAAGCAGUAAAAACUGUUGCAUAUUUAGUUAAUAGAACUCCAACAAGUGCUCUGAAUUAUGAUAUUCUUGAAUCCGUUUGGUCUAGAAAUCCUGUUGAUUAUUCACAUUUAAAAUUUUUUAGAUGUGCUGCCUAUGCCCAUCAGAAUAUUGGAAAGUUAGAACCUAGAUCACUUAAGUGUAUUUUUCUAGGCUUUGGUGAAAAUGUAAAAGGGUAUAGAUUAUGGCUUUGCAAAGAAAAUGGCUAUAAAGUAAUUAUUAGAAGAGAUGUAGUUUUCAAUGAAUCUAUUAUGCCAUGUUUAGAAGGAAAGGAGAAUAAUCUGACUAAAAAAGAUGUUCAGAUUGAGGUGGAGAAAUUUCAUAGUGAAACUUAUUCUCAUGUUGCUACCUUAACUGAACUUGAUCAAAAUGAAAAUAGCAUUACUGCUGAAACUGAAAACAAUCAAUCAUCUGAUACAGAUGAAUAAACUGAUUUUGCAAACCCUCCCUUAAAUGAAUAUCAGUUAACUAGAGAUAGGGAGAGAAGGAAAAUUAGAAUACCUGCUAGAUUUGAUUGUGAUGAUUUUGUUUCACUAUUUACCUAUCAAGAACAAUUUGAAAAUGAACCAAACUCCUAUGAUGAUGCCAUUAAUUGCAAAGAUGCUAAAAAUUGGAUAGUAGCAAUGAAUGAUGAAAUGUCAUCUCUUCUUACUUGGGAAUUGGUAAAGAGACCUAAGAAUCAAAAUUUGAUCGAUUGUAAAUGGAUUUGCAAGAUAAAAGAAGGAGAGGGAGGAAACAAAUGUGUGAGAUAUAAAGCAAGAUCAGUUGCUAAGGGUUUUACAUAGAAAGAUGGAGUAGAUUACAAUGAAAUCUUUUCCCUAUUGUUAAGUACACCACAAUCAGAUGAAUUCUUGCCGCUGUUGUUCAGUUUAAAUGGGAACUGGAUCAGUUAGAUGUUAAAUUUGCCUUCUUGUAUGGUGAAUUAGAUGGAAAAAUUUAUAUGAAACAAUUUGUUGGCUUUAUAAAAGGUGAUUCUGAAAAAGUUGUAUACCUUUUAAAGAAAUCUUUGUAUGGUUUAAAACAAGCCCCAAUGCAAUGGUACAAAAGAUUUGACAGCUUUGUACUAAAACUUGGCUUUCAAAGAAGCAACUAUGACAUAUGCCUAUACUGCAAAGGUAAUGGAGGUAAAAACUCUUUAUACUUAGUACUUUAUGUAGAUGAUAUGUUACUUGUCAGUUGUGAUAAAUCUGAGAUUGAGUUUAUUAAACAGAAACUUAAAUCUAAAUUUGAUAUGAUGGAUUUACGAGCUAUCAAAAAAAUUCUUGGUAUGCAGAUUUUCAGAGAUAAAGAAAAAGAUAUAUUGUUCUUAAACCAACAUGAUUAUGUGAAUAAAAUUUUAAGAAGGUUUAAUAUGCUUGAUUGUAAAUUUGUUACUUUACCUUUAACAAAUCAUUUCAAGCUUUAUUCUUAUUUCUGCCCUAAAACUGUUGAAGAAUAUGAUAGAAUGUUGACUGUACCUUAUGCUAAUGUGAUUGGAUAUGUGAUGUAUUUGAAGGUAUGCACAAGACCUGAUCUUCCUUUCAGUAUUAGUAUACUUAGCAAAUUUAUGACUAAUCCUGGGGAAGAACAUUGGAAUGCUUUGAAAUGGCUUUUAAGAUACUUGAAAGAGACAUCUAACUAUGGUCUCAUGUUUAAGUUGAAUAAAGAAAGGGUAACUUUAAAGGGAUUUACUGAUUUAGAUUUUGCUGGAAAUAGUGAUAAUAUGAAAUCAACUUCAUCAUAUUUCUUUACCUUAUGUGGUACUGUGAUUGGUUGGAAAUCUCAACUUCAAAAGAUUGUAACUUUAUCAUCUAUUGAAGCUGAAUAUAUUGUUGCUUCUAAUGCCUUUAAAGAAGGAAUUUGGCUAAGUGGAUUACUAAAGGAACUUGGUUUUGUUGAUGAAAAUGUAACUUUAUAUUCAGAUAACCAAAGUGCCAUACAUCUAAUUAAAAACCCUAGGUAUCAUGAUAGAACUAAACACAUAAAUGUCAAAUAUCAUUUUAUAAGGGAUAUAAUUUCAUAAGGAAUUUUGAAAAUUGGGAAGGUUGCUACUCAGGUUAAUCCUUCUGAUAUGUGGACCAAGAUAAUACCUUUAAACAAGUUUAAAAACUGUCUAAAGACAUUAUCUAUUUAUACAUUGUAAUUUUUUUAACAAGUACUUUUGGAGCGUAUGAAACAAGAGAAUGUGAUAUGCUCCGGGCUACACUAUGACCUGAAAACUAUGGUAGCAAAGUGGAGAUUGUUGUGACUUGAACCCGAUUUUUUGUGCUCCCAUAAUUUUUAGCUAAAGAAGUUUUAUGUAAAUGCAAUUUUAUAAAGUGAUCUUUACACUGGAUGCUGACACUUGGCACAUCAUGAACCGUUGGAUGAGUCAAUUGGUCUUGGUGAUAUAAUUACCCUUAGACGAUUUGUUUGGCUUGAGAUAUUUCUUCUGGCUUUUCAUUUUCGAGAGGGUUCAUCUUCUGUGAGUGGCUAGGGUUUUCUGAUUCGCCAUUAUUUUGAACCUCUCAUUCGAAAUGAUAUUUUUGAGAGUUUAGUCUUGAAUACAUGUGAUUUCUUGUGUGAAAUCUGUAAUAAUUGUGAGAACUAGUGUUUUGGGUUCGUGAAGUCAGAUCUGCAGUUUCUUGUGUGAUUCGAGCCAGAUUUGUUGGUUCUUUGUGAAGAGAUAAGUCUCUUAUAUUGUAUUCUUGUAUUGGCUAAACGUUUGUAUCCUUCGUUGCCAGUUUAAGGCAUUAUAGUGCAACCGAGCAAUAUCCGUUCUUGAAUGGAUGCUCAACAGGGGACUAGGUAUUAAAAUGGUUACUGAACCUCCGAGGCUUUGACCAAAAAAUUCCUCGGUGUUCAGUUUUUUUUUUCUUCAAGUUUUGAUCUCUGCUAUAAAUCGAUCCUUAGCAUCUUGUGUUUAAUAUCGUGUUUGGGCUUUUCAGCCAGUUUGACGACAAAGAUCAAGACUUGACUAUUAGAAACAGUGGCCAAUCUAACUUACUAAACAUGUAAAUUUUGCAUUUUCAAUUACAAUUGAACUUACCAAUCCUCCGGUGACAACUACAAGCAAAAAGCAUGCCACAAUGGAGCCAAAAGUUGAGCAAUCCAAUAAAAAAAAUGCCAUUAAGAAGUGUAAUUUGGCUGUCAAGAGCCAAACCAAAGGUGACUGCAGGGUUUACAUGGCCGUCGGAGAUGUUGGUUCCGACCGAGACAGCUACAAACAGGGCGAAACCAUGGCAAACAGCAACGCCACCAACCCUGCUGGAUCAAGGGCCGCGUCCGCCGCCAACUUAUCUAUCAACUAUCAAAAUGUUACUAAAUAUCAGCAUAUUAUAUAUCGCACUUACUAUAGUUUUCAUGCACGCAAAUAUAGGCUGUGAAAAAUAAGAGAGUGGUUUUAGUACUAACUAUAAGCAAUGGUGGAGCCCAAUUAGGUGAAGACGAAGAGCAAGGUGGAUAUGAAUUCAGCCACAUAGGCCUUCAUGAGCCAAUGGUAAAUGAAUCGUCAAAUCUUCCGAAAGCGAUUCCAGGCAUUUUGAUGAUCGGAAAGAAGAGCUCAAGAAAAUUUUCUUGAUGACAAGAAUAUUGAACUAUUUUUUUCUGAUGACACAAGCAAAACUUUCUUUGUCACAUAUAUAGAGAGAAAGAGAAUACACAAAUAGUCGAAUAUAAUAACAUUGGAAUUUAUUUAUUUCCAUAAUAUGCUUUUGCCAUUUUACAAGAUAAAAGGAAUGAAUUAAUACUCUAUCCUAG
rnacentral:lncRNA from 1 species